AGUAAGGUUGUAUUUGAUUUAUUCUUAACUGCGUUGUUGGUUAGGGGGACUCGUAAGUAAGGUUGUAUUUGAUUUAUUUUUAACUGCGUUGUUGGUUAGGGGGACUCGUAAGUAAGGUUGUAUUUGAUUUAUUUUUAACUGCGUUGUUGGUUAGGGGGACUCGUAAGUAAGGUUGUAUUUGAUUUAUUUUUAACUGCGUUGUUGGUUAGGGGGACUCGUAAGUAAGGUUGUAUUUGAUUUAUUCUUAACUGCGUUGUUGGUUAGGGGGACUCGUAAGUAAGGUUGUAUUUGAUUUAUUCUUAACUGCGUUGUUGGUUAGGGGGACUCGUAAGUAAGGUUGUAUUUGAUUUAUUCUUAACUGCGUUGUUGGUUAGGGGGACUCGUAAGUAAGGUUGUAUUUGAUUUAUUUUUAACUGCGUUGUUGGUUAGGGGGACUCGUAAGUAAGGUUGUAUUUGAUUUAUUUUUAACUGCGUUGUUGGUUAGGGGGACUCGUAAGUAAGGUUGUAUUUGAUUUAUUUUUAACUGCGUUGUUG